AACGAACGCUGGCGGCGCGCUUAACACAUGCAAGUCGAACGAGAAGGCGUAGCAAUACGCUUGUAAAGUGGCGAACGGGUGAGGAAUACAUGGGUAACCUACCCUCGAGUGGGGGAUAACCCGCCGAAAGGCGGGCUAAUACCGCGUACGCUUCCGAUCUUGCGGGAUCGGAAGGAAGCUGUCCCUUGGGGAUGGCGCUCAAGGAUGGGCUCAUGUCCUAUCAGCUUGUUGGUAGGGUAACGGCCUACCAAGGCAUCGACGGGUAGCUGGUCUGAGAGGACGAUCAGCCACACUGGCACUGCGACACGGGCCAGACUCCUACGGGAGGCAGCAGUGAGGAUAUUGCGCAAUGGGCGAAAGCCUGACGCAGCGACGCCGCGUGGGGGA
rnacentral:rRNA from 1 species